CGAAAUUAUCACUUAGUACGAAUAGCUGAUGAAAUUUUGGGAUUUCGGCCAUAAUUGGAUGGUUGGAUGCGAGUUUUGGGUGCUUUUUAGCUUACAUACCCGAAUUGCUUGUUUUAGCUUAUCCUUCUAGUAUGGAUUGACGCUUACUUUUCUGCCAUCGGCUUGUGAAUCUUUUUCAAAACUGUUCCUUUUGUUCAUCUGUGGUGAGGUUUUGCAAGUCAACUGCUGCAUCGUAUAUUAUCACUAGGCGUUCAAAUCAAUAAAAGCUAUCCUGGAUUAGGACAUGUCUCAAAAAACAUUCUACUAUUCACCAGUAUGUUUAAUUGAACAGAGUUUCCAAUUUUGCUCAUAUCUUCCGAUGCUUUAUGGUGCUGUGGAACUAUACAGGGCAGUACUUGUGUUUGGAACCAUUAUAGGGUCGCCAUUGGACUCCACAAAUGUAGGAGGGCACAUUGAAGUGUAAGCAAAUGGGCUUCAGUAUGGGACUGUGGCUGCCCUACAAAAUGAGAGUUGUUCUUUUAAUUUUGCGGUUGUAUAUUGACAUGACUACAGUCAACUUAGUUAUCCUUCAUGUUGUUUUAAUGUCACACGAAUACGUUUUCUUUUAGUGGCAAUGCUUUCAAAUCGGCUAGUCGAGCCUAGUCGUAAGGAUACCGACUAGGCGACUAAGUGCGAUUAGUCGUCGAUUAGGUCCGAUUAGUUGGUGGCUAGUCAUUUAGUCGAGCAGUAAAGUUGUCCUGUUGCCCAUGAUGUACCGUGUACUAUAGUAUAAGUGUAUAACUAUAUAAGUAGUUAAUCACUACUAUAAAUUAUACUAAUUCAGUAAUCAGUACUAUACUAUUAGGCUACACUACUAUAGCAGCAUAGCACCAGUGCACACUGCACAAAGACAUUAUAUAAAUUGGUAAACAAAAAGCAAGCAUCAAGCAUGGUCACUUACUUGUCUAGAGCAGCUGUCUUCGGCUCUUUGCUGACUUGUUGACUUGCUGCUGAAACAACAAAGAAAGAAGUAAUUAGCUGUACAAUUAGACAUGUAAAAUAAUGUUAAGAGUAGUAGAGCAUAUAAAAAACAUGAAGGAACAGAACAAAUAAUUAAGCCAGCAAGGCAGCAACCAUAGCAGCCAGCAAGUACAUAAUUAAACAAGUUCUCAAAUGGAAAUGACACAUGUCUGAAUUGCAAAAUAACCAAGACAUCAAAAGCUGAAGUGUUGAACACAGUUAGCCAUCUAAACUUCUAAAGCAGUAGAUCAUCAUCCAAUUGGAAGCCCCCUCCACCAUCAUCUUCAUUCUCCUCCAUUGCUUCAUCAGAUUCACCUUGUGAACCUUGUGGCUGCACAAAAUCUUCAUCUCUCUCAUCAUGUUCGUUGCUUUCUUCAUCUUCAACAAUAUCUUCAGUUGCAGCUGUCCUUGCAUGCUUCUUUUUCCUACCAUAAGUAUGCCUGAUAGAGGUAGACCUAGUAGUAGUCAUAGCACUAGCAGCAGCAGCCCUAGGCAACUUACGACCUCUCAGACCCUGAGUUGCACCAACAGCUUCAUCAACUUGAGCCCAAGUUAUAUCAUUGCUAUCAGCUGCAGGGCCUUGAUGAACUUGUUCACAACUGCCACCAACCCACUCAUUCUCCCACUGGAAUUCUUCUAGGACCAACUGGUUGCAUUUCUCUCCUUUGGAACCGAGCUCUCGUAUCUUCUGAAACCUUUUGUCAUCUUCCGGUUGUAGCUAACAAAAACAAACUUGUUCAACCUCCUGUGCUCUAACCGGUUCCUCUUUUUGGUAUGGAUCUUCAAAGAAAAAAAAUGCAAAUUCACAUGUGGAAGGUGGCUGCAGCCUGAUGCACUCGAAUUUACAGCUACCAAUUACUUACAUGAGCAAAUGCACUCCAAUUGCGCUCACAUCCGGAUGAUGAACAACAAAGACUAGCGAUUCGUUUUACUAAACUUUGGAGCUCAAAUGCAAGGCCACCAUAUGCACCCCACCAGUGAACUACAAUACAAAUUACAAAAUGAUAAUCAUCAGUUCAUUACAUAGAGCAUAAAGAAAAGGGAGUGCUGAAUGUAACAUACAAUUAUACUCUUAGUAACUUACUAGGACUCUUUUUAUCUCUCUCUCUUAUUGCUAAUGCCUUUGAGAAGCAAUCACCUUCUGACCUUUCAUACACAUCAGCUUGCCUGCUUAUCUUGCUUUGUUCAUCAUCAUCAGUCGCUAUCUUCCAUAGCACAUCAUUGAACAUUGACCUUAGCCUUGAAGCUUGUCUUUUGUUAGCUUCCCUUAUGGGAAAGAACUUGGCUGGAUUCAAGAAAAGGGCAGCCCCAUACAACUUUUGCUCCAUUUGGUUGUCCCACCUCCUGUCAAAGUGGUUUAGUACCUCAUGGAGUAAUUGUGGUUUUCCUCUCAAAGAAUCCUUGAUACUGUUCUUUGCAGUAUCCAUGGCUGCCAUGAUCUCAAGAGCUGCAGGUGUCUCAUCACCAUCUGCUAUCCUCAAAGCAAUAAGAAGUGGUUGUGAAGCUCUCAUGCAAUUUCCCAAUGAAGUCCAAAAUGGCAUGGAAAGGAUAAUUCUCUCAACCAUCCCCCCUUAAGUUCCACGAUUAGACAAGCUGCUGCCACUCCUCACUAACAAAUAGAUUUCUUAGACCAUUGUUGUUCCUAUGCAUGCUUGCCAAUGUGAGAAAUGAGGUAGCAAAGCGAGUUACAGCAGGCCUCACAAGAUAUUUACCUAUCUUAUCUCUCAUUAGAUCAAGAACCCUCCCAUGCUUGUAGAUAAAUCUGCACACCUUCUUUGCAUUAUUAAUGCAUUUGUUGAAUUCAUGUAUCUUUCCAAUGUCCUCCAACAUCAAAUCCAAGCAGUGAGCAGCACAAGGUGUCCAAAACAAAGUUGGAAUCCUCUCCAUUAAAAUUCUUCCCGCUGCUUUGUAGUUGGAUCCAUUGUCUGUGACAAUCUGCACAACAUAUUCCUACCCAACCUUCUCAAUUUGUUUCUCCAACAAGUUUGCUAACAUAUUUGCAUCAACUACCUCACGUGAAGCAUCCAUUGAGCCUAUGAAGAAGGUUCCUAUUAGACUAUUGGCAAGAAAGUUGAUGAGAUGGCGGUGGCUCGUGUCAGUCCACCCAUCAGACAUGAGUGUGCAAUCGUAUUCCUUCCAAGCCUCAUGCUUUUUUCUGAAUUCCAUUGUCUUUUUCAUUGCUCUAUCAAGCAACAGACCCCUAAUUUCAUGAUAUGAAGGUGACCGGUGCCCAGGACAAUAUUGCCCAAUGGACUCAAGCAUAAUCUCCUAGCUUCUUGAGUUAAUGGCAUUGAAUGGUAUGCCAUUCUCAUAGAAGAAAUCAGCAACAUGAUCAUCAACAGUCUGUUUGGCCUCUUUACUCUUCUUUGUGCAGUGCUCAAGAGUGGGUGGAGAAGUCUUGGAUUUAUGCCUUUCUGCAACUACUACUUCCGGUGUCUUGCAAAGCAUGGAACUCACUGACUUGGAGUGCUUUUGUGUCUCUAGUUGUGGUGGACUAGAAACCAUAAAGGAAGUGAUCGAUGCUUGAGCUCUUCUUUUUGCUUGCUUUGCCUUUGUCCUAGAACUUGGUACAUGUUCAGUAGCAACAACACCACCUUCACCUUCGUCUGCACCUUCAUCUUCUUCACCCUCUUCCCCUCCCCCAGACUCAGGUAAGCGAGUCCUUGAAUUUUUGAUCAAGUAGUCAUGCAUCUCUUUCCUAAUUAUCGCAGCUGCUUUUGGACACUUCUCUGCAUAAGCAUAACCCCCAGCAAGGUGCUGCUUGAAUCUUUUAAUUCCUGCAGUUACUAUCUUUUUGCAGAAUAUGCAUUGCACUGAUUCCUUCUUCCCUAAUUAUGGCCACAACCCAUACUUCUAUCCCGGGUCUUUAGAGCGAGCCUUCCUCUUAGGAUCUUGAGCUAGAGCAGCAAGAUCUGCUGGCAGUUCAGCUAUGGCUUUAGCUACUAGGGAUGCAGUAGCAUUAUCUGGAGCAGCUGAGGAAGCUAAGGCAGCAGCAGCAGCACCUGGGUCAGCAGCAGCAUCAGAACCAGCUGCUUCAGGUUCAGGGAACACCACUUCCACCAGUGCAUGCUGAUCUGCACAUACCCAACAAUCAUCAAAGAAUCUAAGUUAGAGGCCGAGAGCACACAACAGAUCAUCAGCUACUAGAAAUCUAACUGAUAGCUGUAAACAUCUACUGAGAGCAGAGCAAAGCAUGUACUGAGUGCAGAUCAGAGCAUCAACUAGCUAUUCAGCUACUGAAAUGAGAGCAAAGCAUCAACUAGCUAUUCAAUUACUGAACUGAGACCAUCAACUACUGAAAUUUUUGUAAAAAUCUAAGCUGAAGUGCAUCAGCUAUUGAAAUAAGAGCAGAGCAGCAGCUAUUCAGCUACUGAGAGCAGAGCAUCAAUUAGCAAAGUAGCAACAUUCAAGAAGAUGGAGGAGGAGGAGGUAUAGCAACCAUCGGAGGAGGACAAUGAACAGCUCAUCUUCAGCUCAUCAGAGGACUAACAGCAGCUUCAACUCUAUGGCAGACUUGCAGUGUGGCUGCUUGAGCUCAGUAUUGCAUGGACUGCAGGGGUAGCUUGGGGCCGACAGCUCAGGGACUUCAGGGGCACUUGGAGAGAGAGGGAGAGGCACAAGAGAGGAGGAGAAAUGACGACGGCGGGCUGGCCACUAGCCGGAGGCAAGCGUGAUAGUGAGCUGGCUUGGGCGGGAGAAAUCUUGUUCUCCCACUCGAGCUGUAGCCUAGGCGGCGGCUCUGUGUAGAGAGACUGAGAGAGAGAGGAGGCAGAGCACAACACAUCUCCUUAUAUAUAUGGGCUCAGAUCACCUAAACCCUAAUGGGCCAAAAGCACAUCAAGCCCAACUUGCUCUUUCCUCCUGCCAGGCAAGUUGUCCUGAGUAAGCUAGAGGACUAAGCGGAUGGCUAGGUUCCUGAUCGAGCUAAUCCCUUCAGAGGACCAAGUCGAGGUUCAAAUACUGACUAGGCCGACUAAUCACGACUAAGUGGACGCUUUAAAAACAUUGUUUAGUGGUUGUUUGGAUCACAUGGAUUACAUGAAAGUUUUCACAUAGCAGGUUUUAUUGUGAUUUUUGAGGAAAUUUGUUUUAGGUUGCUAGUCGGUUAGAUCUAGUUUAAUAGAUUACUUUGUUUGGGUCAUGUCAAUUAAAAUGAGUUUUGUGUGUUACAUAGACACCAUUACAUCAGCACCAGAUGGUCUUUCUCUCAUUUAAUCUAUUGAAUCGGCAUCAGGAAAGCACUAGCGGUUCACGCUAUUUGUUUAAUCAUGUAACAGAAGAAGAAAAGGAAAAAAAAAGUAUGUAACAGAAGGAGAUACAGGAGUUCCUUUUCUGAAAACCAGGUAUAAAUUGAUUUUGAUAAAACCCAAUAUUUGAGUUUUAGCAAAAACAGAUUUCGGUUAUCCCCAUUUUAUCCUACCUAGCCAAACAGAGUUUUAGGUAGUUAGGUGCAAAUCUGGUUUAACUAAAUCUAGUUUUGAUAAAACAUGAGAUCUAAACAAACAUUUGUUAGAGAGAAACAGAGUUUUCCUUGAAGAUCAGUUUUGGGAAUUACAACACUGGACUACAGAGAACCAUUUUUCAUAAAACCUAAAAAGUAUUAUUACAAUUUUAUCUGAAACAGAUAUUUUCUCGAAUCCAGUUUUGGGAGGAUAAAUAUUGUUAUUUUGGCCAUUACUAGUGAUUGAAUUAAUUGCUAUUGAUUACUACUGGAGUCACCUUUUAAUAUUUUGUAUUCAAUGUCGAGAUGCUUCAGUCAUUUACACUUACCUAGUGUCUCUUUACUGUGCCUUUGUAGUUUUAUUAUGUACAAAACUAUACCAAGUGGAAUCCCUUUAUUUAUUCAUACUUGCCUCUGGAGCUAUAGGUGUUUAAAGUCACUGCUGGCCAUUUUACUUCCUGUGUAUAUAAGAAACUGCACUCAUUCCUGUUCUCGUUUGUUGCUUUGUGUCGUUAAAGCUGUUUUCUUUUUUUUAGCACACUUCUGUAUUUGAGUGAUAGCCACAGCUGAAGUUUUGUUGCUACCCCGUAAGGUGUUGAAGAUAGGUUGUAUAAUAAGAUACUGCACUUCACUGAGCUUGUUAAUUUCCUGUUCUCCUUUGUUGGCUUUUAUCGUUAAAGCUGUUCUCUUUUUUUAUAGCACACUUCUGUAAUUGAGUGAUAGCCGCAGCUGAAGUUUUGUUGCUAAGACAGGAAAUACGAUUUUAACGAGGUGGGGGAAGUGAUGUUAUUUAUGUGAAGAGAUUGUUUUAUGUCUUGUGCUGCAUCCUUGGAAUCACAGAAACAUUGGCAAAGUACGCAGUGGUAAUAAACUGUGCUGCUACAUGUUAAUAAGCAUGAUGUGCUGGAUUAUUGCCUUACCACGUUGUUGCCGACUAUGAGGCUGAAGAAGAUGACAGAAUCCUUGACAGUGAUACAACUGGUCAGAUCCCUUCUCGCCUGCAGCAAUGGGAUCAUAACAUUCUGGUGAAGAUUGCUGAGUUUACAAC